GGUUACCUUGUUACGACUUAGUCCCAAUCGCCAGUCCCACCUUCGACGGCUCCCUCCCACAAGGGGUUAGGCCACCGGCUUCGGGUGUUACCAACUUUCGUGACUUGACGGGCGGUGUGUACAAGGCCCGGGAACGUAUUCACCGCAGCGUUGCUGAUCUGCGAUUACUAGCGACUCCGACUUCAUGGGGUCGAGUUGCAGACCCCAAUCCGAACUGAGACCGGCUUUUUGGGAUUAGCUCCACCUCACAGUAUCGCAACCCUUUGUACCGGCCAUUGUAGCAUGCGUGAAGCCCAAGACAUAAGGGGCAUGAUGAUUUGACGUCGUCCCCACCUUCCUCCGAGUUGACCCCGGCAGUCUCCCAUGAGUCCCCACCAUCACGUGCUGGCAACAUGGAACGAGGGUUGCGCUCGUUGCGGGACUUAACCCAACAUCUCACGACACGAGCUGACGACAACCAUGCACCACCUGUGAACCGGCCCCAAAAGGAGAAACCACAUUUCUGCAGCGAUCCGGUCCAUGUCAAGCCUUGGUAAGGUUCUUCGCGUUGCAUCGAAUUAAUCCGCAUGCUCCGCCGCUUGUGCGGGCCCCCGUCAAUUCCUUUGAGUUUUAGCCUUGCGGCCGUACUCCCCAGGCGGGGCACUUAAUGCGUUAGCUACGGCGCGGAAAACGUGGAAUGUCCCCCACACCUAGUGCCCAACGUUUACGGCAUGGACUACCAGGGUAUCUAAUCCUGUUCGCUCCCCAUGCUUUCGCUCCUCAGCGUCAGUUAAUGCCCAGAGACCUGCCUUCGCCAUCGGUGUUCCUCCUGAUAUCUGCGCAUUUCACCGCUACACCAGGAAUUCCAGUCUCCCCUACAUCACUCUAGUCUGCCCGUACCCACC
rnacentral:rRNA from 1 species